ensembl:lncRNA MUC20-OT1 MUC20 overlapping transcript
GUCAAAGCACCGCUGCAAGAGGGGAAGUUGCUACUGUGAUGAAUUCUGCCAUGUGGCACCAGACUGCCACCCAGACCACAGUGUCCUCUGCAACCCUGCUUCUCAGAUGACCAAGAUGGUGCUGCAGAUGGUGCUGAGGAUGGAGAACCCACCAAGCCCCGCUAGGAGCCACCUAGACUGGAUGCAGAGCAUGGUUCAGUGAGUUCUCCAAACCAGCCUCCCAGGAAUGCCAUUCAACAUGGCUGUGAGGAGAAUAAAGAAGAGAGCCUGACUCCUCUCCUGAGGCCCCUUCCCCACCCUGAGCCAGCAGGAUCCACGGAGCAGAGGUCAUCUGUCCCCAGCUUGGCCCACUGAGGCCAGCAUGGCUGGGCCCAGGAUGCUUGUCUCUCAGCUCCCAUCCUGUGUACUU